UAAGGCAAAAAGCUGAACCGAGACUGUCCUCUUCUGGCCAGGACAAACAUUACAUCUUUAACGCAACAUAUCCAUACUUCAUUAUACUUUUUCAUGAGUAGAAUACAGUGUGGAGCUGAAGGCUGGCUGAGAUCCAGAGGAACACAUGUGGUUAAUGAUAAGGUGCCGCUUAGAUAAAUCAGCUGCUUUCUGACAAGUUUUAAGUCAAGGAAUGUCCAAUCCCAUUUUGUAGUGACCUUUCUUUCUGUUUUAAAAAUGUUUUCUUUGAAUUGUUUGACUACUCCAAAGAGAAUACAGGAAAAUAUAACUUAGGCUACUUAAUUUGUGUUUUUACCAGCUAAAUUUCAAUUUAAUUUCAUACUUAGGCGAAAAUCUGGCUCUAAAUCUCUCUUUUCUUUACUCAAAGUUGAUCUAGACACGUUUAUGGAAACUAUCCAAAGCUCUGUUAAUACUAAAGCAGUGAAAACUGAACCUCUAUCCUCGGUGUCCUCUUAAGGUGUACAUUUAUUUAUGUAUUUGUUUGUUUGUUUGAUAACCUGGCAACACAUCCCUUAUGAAAAUUAACCAAAAUAAAAAAAAAACAUACUACACUUUUACCAUGAUAAAACCAUGGUUAAUUUUCUUCAGGGAUUUGUAUUUGUGUAUACUUACUUUCUUUCUUUUGUCUGUUUUUAACUGUACUGCCUUAGUGGUUUGAUGUUUUGUAACCUUUAAUAAAAAAUACACAAUUUGGGGUUCUAUAUAGAACCCUAGGGUUCUUUACUCAACUCAAAAGAACCGUUUAUGCCAAAAAGGUUCUAUAAGGAGAAAGAACCCUUUUUGGCACAAAAGGGUUCUUUGGGCUAAACCAUGCUUUUUAUGUAUGUUUACACAUUAGGCUAUUUAAAAUUAUUAUACUACAUUAUAUUUGUGCUUUUAUUUCAAUUUUACUUUGACACACCUUUAUUCCAAAAAAAAAAUCUACUUAAAAUUGACGUCUGCACUGACAAUUAUAUAACAUAUUAUUAUAACAAACUGAUCAGGUAAAUAGGCAAGGUGUUCUAGCAGUGCAUAGCAAUCCGGACAGUUUUAUCUAUGUAUUAAUAGGUACAGGCUAGUCUUCUAUUUUAUGAUUGCAAGUUCUAGUUAUCAUGUCAUGUAAUAUGCCUUGCAGCUCUUUUAUUGACGAGCAACAUGCUCAUAUGGAGUUUCAGUGUUUCAUUUAGAUUCUAAAAGGCUAUUCUUGUAACUCACCCCUCCAAACAGAUGCAUAAAAUGAUCUUUGACAUAAGCGGCAAACAAUUUGAACGAGUAUCUAUGCGAUGAUCAGUUUUGUCCCGUCUGCACAGCGCCGCAUUUCAGUAGCGAGACUCUCGCGAGAGUGGCCUUUUAAAAGCGCGCGGGCGCCGCUGUUUAAACUUCAACGGUUCACGGUGCGCUGACUGCUCUCAGCGCUCGGGAGAACGACGAUUACAUUCAAGCUAAAAGAAGAAGGUGGUUUAUGGCGUUGUCCAGGCCUGCGCUAUUCUCCGCCGGGAGGUUGUAUUGGACCUAUACGUAACGUUAUAGGAAAAGAUGGAAAAAAAUCGCUGUCAGACUGCUGUUAUAAACACGAAUUCAAACCAAGAAGAACAAAGAGAGAAGCUGAUGGAGAUAUUUCCUUUUUUUUCUGUGGAUAACUAUGUUCAUCUAUCUCAGAGAGCACUUUUAAAGUUAUCAGAGAGCUGAAAAGUGGAAGUCAGAGGAAACAUGACCAACCUGCUGCAAAACAGUAACACAAAAGGUUCUUAUGAUCGGUAGAUAAAUAAAUAAAUAUUUUGCACUGUCGCUGCAGGUCUGGACUCUGGAGUGCAGCGUUACUUGUUUGGUCAUCAACAUUCAGAUGAAAACAACACACUCCUCUCUAAUUCAAGUACAUUUUAAGAUUUGAUUUAAUUGUGAGAGAUUCCCUUCUUUUUCCUGUACUCUCUGACUUGUAUCCCAAUCUUAGGAUGUCAUCGCAAAGAGAGCUAGCAUCAAAAUGGAUGUGUCAUUGACCAAUAACACAGAGAUGCCAGAAGUAUCUGUUUGCAGUCUACUUUUUGUUCAGUAUGGAGCAUCCAAAAUCCAUCACUCAGUUAAUUUCAAUCAGCACUAUUUAGCCCUUCCAGUGCUGAAAUUGUCAUGGGUCCUUUGUUUUUAUUGUUUAAAUGCUUAUCUGAAUGUAAAAUUAAUAUUUAAUGCUUAUAAAAUGCAAAA